rnacentral:rRNA from 1 species
UACGUAGGUGGCGAGCGUUGUCCGGAUUUAUUGGGCGUAAAGCGCCCGCAGGCGGCUUGGCAAGUUUGAGGUGAAAUCUCCCGGCUCAACUGGGAGGGUGCCUUGAAAACUGCCAGGCUUGAGGCAGGGAGAGGGAUGUGGAAUUCCAGGUGUAGCGGUGAAAUGCGUAGAUAUCUGGAGGAACACCGGUGGCGAAGGCGGCAUCCUGGACCGGUAUUGACGCUGAGGAGCGAAAGCCAGGGGAGCAAACGGG